GGAGAGAUGGCCGAGUGGUCGAAGGCGCUCCCCUGCUAAGGGAGUAUACGGGCCAAAACCUGUAUCGAGGGUUCGAAUCCCUCUCUCUCCG
rnacentral:tRNA from 1 species